CGGACGACCUCGUUCGAUACCCCGGUGUUCUGCGCGAUACUCGAGCGACCCACUACAAUCUAUACCCUGACGAUACCUUGUGCGAAAAUCAUAGCAGCAAGGAUAGCGGAAAAAGAACUCACCCCGCCGAGACAAGGUAGAGGCUGGGCGCAGGUGAUGCUUCACGAAAGAUCGCCACCGAGGACCCUCCUGCAUAGAUGGUUUCGCCCCGUCCGAAGAACUCCACCGGCAGUCUUCUAAUCCCGCGAGCAAUGGAGGCGCGCCCACGUUAGUCACCAGGGACCCAGCGACGGUAGUCCAAGCACCACACCGGUGGGUUCGGGACGUCGAUCUCGCCCACGCCGAGCGGAAUUUGAGAGGGGUUCGCAUGGUGUGAAUAGAGGGCACCGCA
rnacentral:lncRNA from 7 species